rnacentral:rRNA from 1 species
UACGGAGGGGACUAGCGUUGUUCGGAAUUACUGGGCGUAAAGCGCACGUAGGCGGAUUUGUAAGUCAGGGGUGAAAUCCCGGGGCUCAACCUCGGAACUGCCUUUGAUACUGCAAAUCUCGAGUCCGGAAGAGGUGAGUGGAAUUCCUAGUGUAGAGGUGAAAUUCGUAGAUAUUAGGAAGAACACCAGUGGCGAAGGCGGCUCACUGGUCCGGUACCGACGCUGAGGUGCGAAAGCGUGGGGAGUAAACAGG